rnacentral:rRNA from 1 species
AGACAAUAGAUACCCGGGUAGUCCACGCCCUAAACCAUGAUAACUGGCUUUCCGGAGUAUCGACCCUCUGGGAGGCGAAAGCUAAACGCGUUAAGUUAUCCGCCUGGGUAGUACGGCCGCAAGGCUAAAACUCAAAGGAAUAGACGGGGGCUUGCACAAGCGGUGGAGCGUGUGGCUUAAUUCGUCGCUAAGCGAAGAACCUUACCAGGGCUAGAAAUCCUACUGCAUACUUUGGGAAACCAGAGUAGCCUUCGAGGUGUAGGACAGGUGAUGCAUGGCUGUCGUCAGUUCGUGGUUUGAAUCGUUCCCUU